AACGAACGCUGGCGGCAGGCUUAACACAUGCAAGUCGAACGGGUGUAGCAAUACAUCAGUGGCAGACGGGUGAGUAACACGUGGGAACCUUCCUAGGGGUACGGAACAACUCAGGGAAACUUGAGCUAAUACCGUAUACGCUCUUGCGAGGAAAGAUUUAUCGCCCUUAGACGGGCCCGCGUCGGAUUAGGUAGUUGGUGGGGUAACGGCCUACCAAGCCUACGAUCCGUAGCUGAUCUGAGAGGAUGAUCAGCCACACUGGGACUGAGACACGGCCCAGACUCCUACGGGAGGCAGCAGUGGGGAAUCUUGGACAAUGGGCGCAAGCCUGAUCCAGCCAUGCCGCGUGAGUGAAGAAGGCCUUAGGGUUGUAAAGCUCUUUUACCAGGGACGAUAAUGACGGUACCUGGAGAAUAAGCCCCGGCAAACUUCGUGCCAGCCGCCGCGGUAA
rnacentral:rRNA from 1 species